rnacentral:rRNA from 1 species
AUUGAACGCUAGCGGCAUGCUUUACACAUGCAAGUCGAACGAGUGGCGGACGGGUGAGUAAUAUAUCGGAACGUGCCCAGUAGAGGGGGAUAACUACUCGAAAGGGUGGCUAAUACCGCAUACUCUUGGAGCGGCCGAUAUCGGAUUAGCUAGUUGGUGGGGUAAAGGCUCACCAAGGCAACGAUCCGUAGCGGGUUUGAGAGGACGACCAGCCACACUGGGACUGAGACACGGCCCAGACUCCUACGGGAGGCAGCAGUGGGGAAUGUGGGACAAUGGGUGAAAGCCUGAUCCAGCCAUGCCGCGUGUAUGAGAAGGCCUUCGGGUUGUAAAGUACUGUCGGCAGAGAAGCGGUAUCUGCAGAAGAAGCACCGGCUAACUACGUGCCAGCAGCCGCGGUAAUAC